AGAGUUUGAUCCUGGCUCAGAACGAACGCUGGCGGCGUGCCUUAAGCAUGCAAGUCGAACGAAGUAGUGCCUAUGCGCUAUUUAGUGGCAAACGGGUGAGUAACACGUAGCUUAGCUGUCCUAAAGUGGGGGAUAGCCGCGGGAAGCCGCGGGUAAUACCGCAUGUGAUCUACGGAUUAAAGCUUAAUGCGCUUUAGGAGGUGGCUGCGGCCCAUCAGGUUGUUGGCGGGGUAAUGGCCCACCAAGCCUAUGACGGGUAUCCGGCCUGAGAGGGUGAUCGGACACAUUGGAACUGAGACACGGUCCAGACUCCUACGGGAGGCAGCAGCUAGGAAUUUUCCGCAAUGGACGAAAGUCUGACGGAGCAACGCCGCGUGAAGGAUGAAGGUCUUUAGGGAUUGUAAACUUCUUUUAUAUGAGACGAGUAAGGACGGUAUCAUAAGAAUAAGUCCCGGCUAACUACGUGCCAGCAGCCGCGGUAAUACGUAGGGGGCUAGCGUUGUUCGGAAUUACUGGGUAUAAAGGGUGCGCAGGCGGAUUUCUAAGCAAGAGGUGAAAUGUCAAGGCUCAACCAUGGCACUGCCUUUUGAACUGGUUAUCUGGAGUACAGAAGGGGAGAGCAGAAUUUCCGGUGUAGGGGUGGAAUCUAUAGAUAUCGGAAGGAAUACCGUUCGCGAAGGCGGCUCUCUGGUCUGCUACUGACGCUCAUGCACGAAAGCGUGGGGAGCGAACAGGAUUAGAUACCCUGGUAGUCCACGCCGUAAACGUUGUACACUUGGUGGUUGGAUUUAAA
rnacentral:rRNA from 1 species